AAAUGGACUUCCGUAUUCUAAAAAAGCAUGUUGGACUAUCCACCUAGGAAUUUUUAUGAACCACCCCAACUGUCUGAGAUCACCCAUCACCUACUUCAAGCCUGCGUAUAAUAGGGGACAGAAACCAGUAGGAGAGAUAAACCACCUAGAGGACUGACUGGUAUAUAAAGUGCCACUGGUGGAAAAUGUCUUAUGAGCAAAGACUGAAGCAGCAGCUGAAUGGGAUGUUGUAAGAAGCCAGCCACGAUAAGGAAGUCCCUCUGUCAUUUUUCCUGCUGUCAGUCAGACUGAGCUGGUUCUGGAAUCCUGGACCUAUCUGAUCACUGGAGACUUGUACCUUGAGAUAGGGCACCAGAAGAAAUCAUAUACUCAGGACUAAAUGCUACAAUUCAGGAGAGGAUGGCAAAAACAAAUUUGGGAAGAAAUAUUCAGAGCAAGUGUACAAGGUCUGGACUGGUAUACAUAUGAAUGGGGAGUGCAAACAUUCUCCUUAGAAGAGAGAAUGGUGGGAAUCUACAUUUCAAGAUUGCUAUGAAGCAACUUUUAAAAAAAGCACUUCUGACUGCUCAGCAGGAAUAUUCUUCACAUGUCGUAGAGUGGAAAUCUUGAGGAUGUGGCAUGUGCAGGGCCAACAUUUGGCUGUGUGAAGGGCAAACAAUAUCAUCCCUUUGGAGAGCAGGUACCACUCAAAGCAGAAUGAGCAAGCCUCAGUGUGAAAGAGGCAUACACAAUCAGGGCCUUAUGAAGGGGCCAACAAGGUGAGACUUCAGCCCUAUCAGAUAUGGUUCCAUGUCUGUGCAUUCUCAGAAGAUGUGGGGAAAAAUACACAGCAAAGCGAUGAAAUCUCUGAGACAGGUCCUGAGGAACAGAACAAAUACAGCAGAGGAAACCAAAUGACAGGAUUGAGAGGGCAAAUAGAUGUGGAAAACAAAAUUCUGUGUGAUGAGCAAAUUUCAACCACACAAAAGCCAUGCCCUAUUGUUAAGUUUCCAUACCUCACCUGAUGUUCCCUGUGAAGUUCUGUUAUUAUUUUCUAAUGAAACAGCAAUGCAAGGGAAGCAGUGGCAGAGUACUUUUAAUGCUAUCCCUGGGAGCUUAUAUUCCUCUUGCAGUGUGUCCUCUGCAGCUGGAAUAGAAAUGGGAGGGAAUGUGAGAAAUCCAUGUCAGUGAUCCUUAGAUGUGCAUAUAUAUACAUACAAUUCUCAUCUCAUCCUCUCAAAGACCCAACACACAAAACUUUCAGUUCUAGGAGAGAUGUGCUAAAAAGGGCCAUCAUGGAGCCACUUGAGUUAAAGCCCCAAGUCAGUAAACUAAGACUUAGUACCUAACAGUAGUUUCAACCUCCAAGGAUGUGAUCUUUCAGCAGUCAACAUGGCUGUUUCCUGGUCAGCACUAAAACUAUGUUGACAAAUUCCCUACUUUCCCCUUAGGAGGACAACAUUGGCUAAAACAAUGGGUUCUUUUCUGCUUUCUCUCUAUAUUUCAAAACUUUUCCCUUUCUGGAGUUUGAUGGAGUUCCUUUAUAUUUGAUAGGUGGGAAGCUGCCUGAUUCAUAAACCAUUUAAUAAAACCAUUAAGCCUCUAGAAUAUACUCGGUUGAAUUUUAUUUUUUUACAGAUUUGGUGUCAGUGUCUAGAUCCUAGGUAAACUUCUGACCUGUAUUUGAGGACAACAAGAAACACAGGUGUAGGGCUCUAUGAGUCUUUUUUAGUUCACUGUCUUUCUCAACAUUGCCAAGGGCUAUGCUAGUCCAUCUUGCUUUGAGUUCUGCUCUUUUUUUUUGCAUUACAACUCCUGAUCAAAUUGCCUUUCCACCUCAGGGUUAAUGAGUCACUGUGUCACCAACACAGAGGCUCUGACAGAGCACCAGUCUUUAGUCUUUGGCUCAUUCUACAAGUCCACAUUGGUAUCCCUUCCUCAGUUCCAGGCCACAGUCUAUAUUUACUGCUCUUUGCUGCCUUAGGCUAUUCCCCAUUUCCUGUCUGCUGUCUUCAUUAAUGGAACCUGCUGGUUUCAUCCAUGAUGGACAUUGGUGGUGAUGUGUACAGGACACUCUAUUGAACAGUCUGCAGUAACUUCUAAAUUUAGCCCUUGGUUCUGAACUCAGCCACGUUGGGAACUGUUGGUGGCAGUGACAGUUCUUUAUGUGUGUGGCAUCAUACUGCAGUCCCCAUUCUUAGAGGUCUGCCGGUUCAAUCCUUGUCCCAGCCUCUAGUUCUUUGGUUCUUGCUUAUAUCCACAGUUCUACUACCUCAGUGCUGUUGGUUUCUGUUAAUGUGUACAUAAAGUAAAGCUUUAAUUUAAAGAAAACUAAUAAAUAAAUACAUAAAUAAGCAAAUAAAAAUAAAGGGGAUCUUUAAAAUCCAGAGUUAAUUUUUCUACACUUUAGCACAUUGCUUAUUUUAUAUCUAAUAAUUAUGGUUCCGGAAGCUAUAAAAAUCUAUAAUCCUGUUUGUGUCCCUAACAGAUUGGGUUGGAGACUUUCAGAUUGGUAGCCAUAAAGUAAGGCCAGAGGAAAUUGUGAGUCACUCCCUAUUUGUAACUAGAUAUGGCUGGAUAGAAAUGUGGGCUAAACACCAUUUAUGGCAAGGGUCCUACUAAACUGCUUCCAGCUCUCAGGGGAAUUGCAAUCUAGAAUUAUAGUUGUUUUUAUGAGGAACACUCCAAUUAGAUAAGAUGAGAGACUCCUAACUCUGGGAAACAAACAAGGGGUAGUGGAAGAGGAGGAGGUAAGCAGGGGGAUGGAAUGACUGGGUGACGGGCACUAAGGGGGGAUGAGCACUGGGUGUUUUACUAUAUGUUGGCAAAUCGAACUCCAAUAAAAAAUAUACAUCAAAAAAAAGAUAACUUGAGAAGUGCACUUAAAAGCAAAAGCUUCAAAAUUCCAAAAUAGCUUCAUUGAAAGUGUCACUACUAAAAGCUGAUAAAAAAAGAAAUGAAGUACCCAAUACAAAAGACCAUAAAACUGAUAUAAUUGUUAAUGCUUUCCACUAUCCUCCUUAAUUUGAAUACUCAUUCUAAGUUAUCUUCUAUCUGAAUUGCCUUGACAGAAACCAUAAAUACAAGUCAGCUCUAGAGGCAAUUCAAAGUUCACCUAUUCUUUUGCCAACCUGAAAACUUUCCAUUUAUUUCAAAGGACUUGUGAGUUAUUGGUCUUAGAAAACCAAAUCUUUCCUGGAGGAACUUGCAUUCUUUCUCUGCCCCCCUAAAGUAAUACACAUUAUCAUGUCUUUGAAAUAGAAACACACCCAUAAUUGCCUGAGACUAAGGGGGGAAAAAAAGGGAAAGAGGCCUUUCUAUAAUACCAACUGCUAAAAUGCACCCAAACUCUAACACAGCCUCCUGAAGAUUAAUUCUUUUUUUUUUGAAGAUUAAUUCUUAAUUAAGUUAAACAAAAUCUUAAAAUCUUUUCCACAAAAAUUACUAAUGACAAGGACUCUGCUGUUGUGUGUCCAUAUAUAUAUGGAGUGUUUUAUUGUAAAAGGGCUCUAUUUGGUUGGUUUGAGGCAGGCACUUGUAAGGAUUGAAUGUUCUAAAACUCUCAGAAAAAUGGACAUUACAUUAAAUGUUGUUCAAGUUCAUGUGAUUUGGAAAAAUAUUCAGUAUUAAAGCUAAUUUAAGACUGUUGGUUUAAUAAAAAUAAAAAUGUCUUUAGAGUUUAUAAGCAUUAAAAAUAACAUUUUUAUUCUACCUUUGUUUACUUAAAGUCAAAUAAAUAAGUUGAUGCUUUCUCUGUUACAAAAAAUUUUUAAUAGCUUGGGAGAACAAUAUAGUGGGAUUUAUUCAUGAGAUGCAUAGUGGUUCAAUAUUCACAGAACAAUCAAUGUGAUACAUUCUAUCAAUAAGAGAGAAGAUAAAAAGCAUGUGUUAUUUCAAUAGAUUCAAAAAGCAUUUGACCAUUUGACAAUGUAGAACAUCUAUUUGUAAUAAAAACCCUAAGUAGUACUAAUGGGAACAUACUAAUGGGAAAAUAAAAGUCUGUUAUGAAAAA